GCAGAGUAGACAGAGGAGCGUUAAGUGCCUUCCGGACGGAGAGUUGCCGGAGGGACGAAAAGGCAAUGCGUCAGCCUUGCGGUUCCCCUUGUCGCAUCCCGCUGC
rnacentral:ncRNA from 1 species